GGUUCUACUUUAGGUUCUUCUUCUUCAGGUCUUUUUCUUAGAACUUUAAAGACAAAAAGGUUUAUAUGUAAACCAAGACAAACUAAUGAAGAUGUUGAAUAAGCUUGACAAAUGCAAAUAAUGUACAAAGCAAGGAAAAUGAAAAAAAGCAUGCUACCUAGCACUCUGGAAAGUAAGCAUUUACACCGAAAGUGUUUUUUGUUUUGUUUUUUUUAAAAUCAAAGGUUGUCAAUUAUAAUAGCACUCAAAGUUACUUUGUUUCUAUCUAGAUAGAGGGUCUAUUCUGAGACAAGUCUGUGGGAGAAACAGCUCCAACACAAAAUGAAUAAUUUGAAUAGCAACGAAUUAUAAUAAUAAUUAAAUGUUAAUGAUUUAAUGAGUAUGUAAAUAAGUAGAAAGUUUACUUAAGCAGAGAUAUCUGAAGAAAUGUAGCCUAAAAAUCAGUAAUUCUAUGUGAAGACAAUGUUAGAACUUAAUUCUUCAUUUGACUAUCUUGUUUCUCAUUCUUUAAUAUUUUAUUAGUCAGAAAGAAAUGUUCAGUUUUUUAAAAAUGUUAUUUAUUAGUUGUGGUGAUCCUGUGUCACACUUUAAAACUGAAUAUUGAAUUUAAGCUAAAGUAGUUUCAUGUAAGGUAUUUAAUAGGUUUAGUGUACUUUACUACAUAAUUUGGUUAUGAAAAUGGCAGUCAUAGUUGUUGUUAGUUUAGAAUAUUAUCAACUUAGUUAUGUCUAUUAACAUUUUAAAUUUCAAAAUACUGUGAAUGCUCACAAAAUUUCUGUCUUUUUUUUUUAAAAAAAAAGAUCUGGAAAUGACAUUUUUCUUAAUUUUCAAUGAAACUACAAACAAAUUUUGAUAAAUAGCGAACCAAUUCAAAGAAAACCAAAGGACAGAAACAUUUUGUAAGCUUUCAAGUUCAUUUUUAAAAUAUACUUAACGCUGACAGAAUGGUUGAAAAAUACUAUACCGCUUUUCAGAACAACUUCUUCCUUUGGUUCAGGUUUACGUUCCGGAAGUAAUUUGCGAACUUUCUUUUCACCUCCAGGCACUUAAAAGAAUAUGAUUUCAAAUUUUGAAGUGAAUUUAUAUAAAAACGGAAUUUCAACAAGAAAAAUGUCUCUCCUAAAACUAGUUAACUGUAGUGCAUUAAGUAACAAUUUUCGCUGCAUAUAAAUACCACAGAAUUUAAGUUUAAAUGAUACAUUUCAAGUUAUCUCCUCUGCAAAUAUCUAUACAGCCUUGUGAUGAAAUUCAACUCCAUUAACUGCAGGCAAAUGUAUUCAUUUUAAAUGCAUGUAGAGGAUGUUGCUCCAUACUGACUUUAUGAAUCUUUCAUCAAAUUACAGGGUUCUUGACAGCAUCUUUGUCCCAAACUGCAAUUGUAGAUUGUCCAAAUCUACGAUGUUAUCUACCCAACCACUAAAUGUAUGAAAAUGAUACUGGCAAGUGUUAGUGCCAUCAUUCAGUCUUCUCCACUGAGGGAAGAAGGUGGCCAAGAGUUCCGGUUUGUGACUUUGAUGCUGGGGAAGGGCCAUAUCUCACUUUCUGAACAGAAGAAGAGUAGCCUUUCUUAAGAUUUCCUUUUUGAAAUAAUGCUGGAUAAAAUAUUUAAAAUUAUAGAAUUAUAAAAUUUCAAAGCUGGUGUUGGAAGCUCGUUUUUCAUGAAUAAGAAAAUGUUCUUAAAUUCAUUCAAAUUAAGGAACGCAAGGAAUUCAAAAUUUCCUGUUGCGUCUACAGUGAAUACUGAGCAUGGUGGAUGAUGCUAUUUUAUAGAGCAGCCUCUUUUGCUAUUAUGGCCCUCAUAGAUUUGAAUGGUGAAAGAAAGGAACACGUGGUGAUUAUUAAACCAUUUUCCUCUCUACUAAUGUCAAUUAAAAUCUAAUUUAAAACAGUAUUUAUUUGUAUUGUGUAACUAUUUGCUAUUAGGAAUCUGAAUUUUUAGAUAUUUCUAUAAAACUUCCUAUUUAGGGCUUUAAACAAGAUAUUUGCAAUUCAUUAAAUGGUUUUUUAUGUGAUAAAGAUAACUGCU
rnacentral:lncRNA from 1 species